GACAGAGGUGCCAAGCGUUAGGCGGAAUCACUGGGCUUAAAGCGUGUGUAGGCGGGCGAUCAAGAACCUUGUGAAAUCCCACGGCUCAACCGUGGAACUGCUGGGUAUACUGGUUGUCUUGAGCCAGCUAGGGGCGAGCGGAACAGACGGUGGAGCGGUGAAAUGCGUAGAUAUCGUCUGGAACGCCGAAGGUGAAAACAGCUCGCUGGGGCUGCGCUGACGCUGAGACACGAAAGCCAGGGGAGCGAACGGG
rnacentral:rRNA from 1 species